CUUCUGGAUAUAAUACAUUGACGCGGUGUUGGCGCCGACCCUUUUCCCUUUGUUGCGUUGUUUGCUUGCUUGUUAAGUCCGUCAUCUUAUUUUAACUACUCCACCUUCCUUCUUCCACCUGCUUUCUCCCCUCGCCUAUGUCCUAAACAUUGAUUACUAUAUAUAUAUAUAGAAAUCUACUCCUCCAUCCAAUCCAAUCUUGUAUUGUAUCUUCUAUAUAUUGUCCCAUCUCAUAUUCUCCUCCAUUCAAAUUAACUGAUUCCAUCCCUAUUCCAUUCAACACCAUCAUGAGCAGCUACAACCAAAACCAGGCUCCAGUGGCAUAUCCCUACCAGGAGCACAAGCACAGCCACAACCCCCUGCUUACACCCCUCCAGCACCGCCUGCCGGAUAUCCCGUCAGAGACGCGGCUCAAGUCUCCGAUUCCGCUCCGGCACCCGGCAAAACUACGCCCAGACACGAUGGCUUCUGGAAGGGCUGCUGUGCGGCCUUGUGUUGCUGUUGUGUGUUGGACGCCUGCUUUUGACGGACGACCACCGACACACAGAUGAUGACGACGACACCAUUUUCUUCUUCCGCGCGUGGCAUCUUUCAUUCUUUCUUUGUUCGUUUCUAGUUCAUGGCUUGGACUUCCUGUUACGUUCAACUUAGUUGUGUGACUAUAUAGGUACUAAAAAUUCGUAUGUUGAAUUGUUGAUGUGGGAUUUUUCAGCAGUAGCGUUACAUCUUCUCCUAGUCCUACUCCUGGAUUAAUCUCAUCUCAUGAUCAUCAAUCCUAUUAUUUUACAGUUGGAAUCCUUGGCAUAAAUAUAAAAGUGAUACUGAAUUGUCACCGGAAAAGUGACACUAAGGAUCCCGUGUGUUUAUUUUAUGAGUUGGAUGUGCACCAUUGUCAGAUUGAUGAAUAAGAAUCCCCCAAUUAUUAUUUA